GACGAACGCUGGCGGGAUGCCUUAUACAUGCAAGUCGAACGGAGUUGCGAACGGGUGAGUAAUGUAUCGGAACGUGCCCAGUAGCGGGGGAUAACUACGCGAAAGCGUAGCCAAUACCGCAUACUAUUGGAGCGGCCGAUUUUGGAUUAGCUAGUUGGUGGGGUAACGGCUCACCAAGGCGACGAUCCGUAGCUGAGUUGAGAGGACGACCAGCCACACUGGGACUGAGACACGGCCCAGACUCCUACGGGAGGCAGCAGUAGGGAAUUUUUGGCAAUGGGGGAAACCCUGAUGCAGCCAUCCCGCGUGAGCGAUGAAGGCCUUCGGAUUGUAAAGCACUUUUGGCAGGGAAGCGGUACCUGCAGAGUAAGCACCGGCUAACUACGUGCCAGCAGCCGCGGUAAUAC
rnacentral:rRNA from 1 species